rnacentral:rRNA from 1 species
GAUGAACGCUGGCGGCGUGCCUAAUACAUGCAAGUCGAGCGAACAGACGAGGAGCUUGCUCCUCUGACGUUAGCGGCGGACGGGUGAGUAACACGUGGAUAACCUACCUAUAAGACUGGGAUAACUUCGGGAAACCGGAGCUAAUACCGGAUAAUAUAUUGAACCGCAUGGUUCAAUAGUGAAAGACGGUUUUGCUGUCACUUAUAGAUGGAUCCGCGCCGCAUUAGCUAGUUGGUAAGGUAACGGCUUACCAAGGCAACGAUGCGUAGCCGACCUGAGAGGGGUAUCGGCCACACUGGAACUGAGACACGGUCCAGACUCCUACGGGAGGCAGCAGUAGGGAAUCUUCCGCAAUGGGCGAAAGCCUGACGGAGCAACGCCGCGUGAGUGAUGAAGGUCUUCGGAUCGUAAAACUCUGUUAUUAGGGAAGAACAAAUGUGUAAGUAACUAUGCACGUCUUGACGGUACCUAAUCAGAAAGCCACGGCUAACUACGUG